UACGGGGGGAGCAAGCGUUGUUCGGAUUUACUGGGCGUAAAGGGCGCGUAGGCGGCCACCGCAAGUCGGUUGUGAAAUCUCUGGGCUUAACCCAGAAAGGUCAAUCGAUACUGCGGGGCUAGAGUGCAGAAGGGGCAACUGGAAUUCUCGGUGUAGCGGUGAAAUGCGUAGAUAUCGGGAGGAACACCGGUGGCGAAGGCAGCCCCCUGGGCCAACACUGACGCUCAGGCACGAAAGCGUGGGGAGCAAACAGG
rnacentral:rRNA from 1 species